rnacentral:SRP_RNA from 1 species
CACUAUAUGGGGAGUUAGCGGUGCCCUGAACCUGCAAUCCGCUUUAGCAGGGUAGAAUUCCCGGCCUCGGGAUACAAGGUGAAUCGCUGGUCUUCGUCGGCGGCGUUGACGUCAUGGUCUUGCACAAUGGAGGCUCAUGAACCAUGUCAGGUCCGGAAGGAAGCAGCAUUAAGUGUUGUACUUCAUGUGUUGCGAGGGUGCCAUGGCUGAGCCGAAGGCUAAGGUGCCGGGUGC